rnacentral:rRNA from 1 species
AGCGAACGCUGGCGGCAGGCUUAACACAUGCAAGUCGUACGCAUCCUUCGGGGUGAGUGGCAGACGGGUGAGUAACACGUGGGAACGUACCCUUCGAUCUGGGAUAACUUCGGGAAACUGGAGCUAAUACCGGAUACGCCCUUUUGGGGAAAGGUUUACUGUCGAAGGAUCGGCCCGCGUCUGAUUAGCUAGUUGGUGGGGUAACGGCCUACCAAGGCGACGAUCAGUAGCUGGUCUGAGAGGAUGAUCAGCCACACUGGGACUGAGACACGGCCCAGACUCCUACGGGAGGCAGCAGUGGGGAAUAUUGGACAAUGGGCGCAAGCCUGAUCCAGCCAUGCCGCGUGAGUGAUGAAGGCCUUAGGGUUGUAAAGCUCUUUUGUCCGGGACGAUAAUGACGGUACCGGAAGAAUAAGCCCCGGCUAACUUCGUG